rnacentral:rRNA from 1 species
AUACGUAGGGGGCGAGCGUUGUCCGGAAUGAUUGGGCGUAAAGGGCGCGUAGGCGGCCCGGUAAGUCUGGAGUGAAAGUCCUGUUUUUAAGAUGGGAAUUGCUUUGGAUACUGUCGGGCUUGAGUGCAGGAGAGGUAAGUGGAAUUCCCAGUGUAGCGGUGAAAUGCGUAGAGAUUGGGAGGAACACCAGUGGCGAAGGCGACUUACUGGACUGUAACUGACGCUGAGGCGCGAAAGUGUGGGGAGCAAACAGGAUUAGAUACCCUGGUAGUCCACACUGUAAACGAUGAAUGCUAGGUGUAGGGGGUAUCGACCCCUUCUGUGCCGCAGUCAACACAAUAAGCAUUCCGCCUGGGGAGUACGGCCGCAAGGUUGAAACUCAAAUGAAUCGGCGGGG